rnacentral:misc_RNA from 1 species
AAGUCGUAACAAGGUUUCCGUAGGUGAACCUGCGGAAGGAUCAUUAUUACGUAUCCACGUAUCAAACCAAAUCGUGAACUGUUUCCCGUCUGAUGAGGAUUUCUGCGAGUGUUUGAACAUUUAUUAAAUGCAUGGUGAGGACUCCUAGUCGCAAGACUGGUUUCUUCGAAAUGGCACUCGGUCCUGGUUGCCGUCUCGGGGCUUCAGCCAGCUCAUUAGAUGUGGUUGAAUUUCAAUCACUAUGCUAAAACUAUUAACCCCUUGUAAAACACUUGAACUAAAUUACGGAGACAAGACCCUUAACCAGGAAACUAUCUCUGAUAAACCGAAACUUAAGAAACAACUCUUAACAACGGAUAUCUUGGUUCUC